rnacentral:rRNA from 1 species
AACGAACGCUGGCGGCGUGCCUAACACAUGCAAGUCGAGCGGGAAAGUUCCCUUCGGGGAGCGAGUACAGCGGCGAACGGGUGAGUAACACGUAGGUAACCUACCCUUGAGACUGGGAUAACCUGCCGAAAGGCGGGCUAAUACUGGAUAAGACCGUGAGGGCUGCGGCCCUUGGGGUAAAAGGUGGCCUCUGCUUGCAAGCUACCACUUGAGGAUGGGCCUGCGCGCCAUUAGCUAGUUGGGAGGUAACGGCUCACCAAGGCUGGGAUGGCUAGCUGGUCUGAGAGGAUGGCCAGCCACACUGGGACUGAGACACGGCCCAGACUCCUACGGGAGGCAGCAGUGGGGAAUCUUGGACAAUGGGCGCAAGCCUGAUCCAGCCAUGCCGCGUGGGUGAAGAAGGCCUGGUUGUAAGU